rnacentral:rRNA from 1 species
UAGGGGAGCCGGAGGGAAACCGAGUCUUAAUUGGGCGUUAAGUUGCAGGGUAUAGACCCGAAACCCGGUGAUCUAGCCAUGGGCAGGUUGAAGGUUGGGUAACACUAACUGGAGGACCGAACCGACUAAUGUUGAAAAAUUAGCGGAUGACCUGUGGCUGGGGGUGAAAGGCCAAUCAAACCGGGAGAUAGCUGGUUCUCCCCGAAAGCUAUUUAGGUAGCGCCUCGUGAAUUCAUCUCCGGGGGUAGAGCACUGUUUCGGCUAGGGGGCCAUCCCGGCUUACCAACCCGAUGCAAACUGCGAAUACCGGAGAAUGUUAUCACGGGAGACACACGGCGGGUGCUAACGUCCGUCGUGAAGAGGGAAACAACCCAGACCGCCAGCUAAGGUCCCAAAGUCAUGGUUAAGUGGGAAACGAUGUGGGAAGGCCCAGACAGCCAGGAUGUUGGCUUAGAAGCAGCCAUCAUUUAAAGAAAGCGUAAUAGCUCACUGGUCGAGUCGGCCUGCGCGGAAGAUGUAACGGGGCUAAACCAUGCACCGAAGCUGCGGCAGCGACACUGUGUGUUGUUGGGUAGGGGAGCGUUCUGUAAGCCUGUGAAGGUGUGUCGUGAGGCAUGCUGGAGGUAUCAGAAGUGCGAAUGCUGACAUAAGUAACGAUAAAGCGGGUGAAAAGCCCGCUCGCCGGAAGACCAAGGGUUCCUGUCCAACGUUAAUCGGGGCAGGGUGAGUCGACCCCUAAGGCGAGGCCGAAAGGCGUAGUCGAUGGGAAACGGGUUAAUAUUCCCGUACUUGGUGUUACUGCGAAGGGGGGACGGAGAAGGCUAUGUUGGCCGGGCGACGGUUGUCCCGGUUUAAGCGUGUAGGUGUGUGUUCCAGGUAAAUCCGGUUCACUUUAACACUGAGGCGUGACGACGAGGCACUACGGUGCUGAAGCAACAAAUGCCCUGCUUCCAGGAAAAGCCUCUAAGCAUCAGGUAACAUCAAAUCGUACCCCAAACCGACACAGGUGGUCAGGUAGAGAAUACCAAGGCGCUUGAGAGAACUCGGGUGAAGGAACUAGGCAAAAUGGUGCCGUAACUUCGGGAGAAGGCACGCUGACACGUAGGUGAAGUGAUUUACUCAUGGAGCUGAAGUCAGUCGAAGAUACCAGCUGGCUGCAACUGUUUAUUAAAAACACAGCACUGUGCAAACACGAAAGUGGACGUAUACGGUGUGACGCCUGCCCGGUGCCGGAAGGUUAAUUGAUGGGGUCAGCGCAAGCGAAGCUCCUGAUCGAAGCCCCGGUAAACGGCGGCCGUAACUAUAACGGUCCUAAGGUAGCGAAAUUCCUUGUCGGGUAAGUUCCGACCUGCACGAAUGGCGUAAUGAUGGCCAGGCUGUCUCCACCCGAGACUCAGUGAAAUUGAACUCGCUGUGAAGAUGCAGUGUACCCGCGGCAAGACGGAAAGACCCCGUGAACCUUUACUAUAGCUUGACACUGAACAUUGAGCCUUGAUGUGUAGGAUAGGUGGGAGGCUUUGAAGUGUGGACGCCAGUCUGCAUGGAGCCGACCUUGAAAUACCACCCUUUAAUGUUUGAUGUUCUAACGUGGACCCGUUACCCGGGUUGCGGACAGUGUCUGGUGGGUAGUUUGACUGGGGCGGUCUCCUCCUAAAGAGUAACGGAGGAGCACGAAGGUUGGCUAAUCCUGGUCGGACAUCAGGAGGUUAGUGCAAUGGCAUAAGCCAGCUUGACUGCGAGCGUGACGGCGCGAGCAGGUGCGAAAGCAGGUCAUAGUGAUCCGGUGGUUCUGAAUGGAAGGGCCAUCGCUCAACGGAUAAAAGGUACUCCGGGGAUAACAGGCUGAUACCGCCCAAGAGUUCAUAUCGACGGCGGUGUUUGGCACCUCGAUGUCGGCUCAUCACAUCCUGGGGCUGAAGUAGGUCCCAAGGGUAUGGCUGUUCGCCAUUUAAAGUGGUACGCGAGCUGGGUUUAGAACGUCGUGAGACAGUUCGGUCCCUAUCUGCCGUGGGCGCUGGAGAACUGAGGGGGGCUGCUCCUAGUACGAGAGGACCGGAGUGGACGCAUCACUGGUGUUCGGGUUGUCAUGCCAAUGGCACUGCCCGGUAGCUAAAUGCGGAAGAGAUAAGUGCUGAAAGCAUCUAAGCACGAAACUUGCCCCGA